rnacentral:misc_RNA from 1 species
CAAAUGAGGAACUUAUUGGCUUUGGGCAUUCAGGUAUUGGUGGAUCCACUGGUCUUUGCAACAUUGAGCAUAAGUUUGCAAUGGCAGUAACUCUCAAUAAGAUGUCAUUUGGAACUGUGACCGCGAAAAUAAUACACUUGAUAUGUUCUGAGCUUAACAUUCCAGUGCCACAAGAAAUCUCCAGACUUGUUGAGACUGGAUCUACUAGUCAGUUGGGAAUAGGUAAACCACUGAUUAACUGACAAAUUUUACUCAAUUUUUGUCAUUGCAAG